GCAACAAUUACAUGGGACAUAGUGGUCGGGGGUUGGGACUUAGAGUACAGUGCAGAGUUCGUGCCUAAUGCAGAAGGGAGCUACACCAUUGCUGUGGAGAAGACAAGGAAAGUGGCUCCCUCAGAAGAGGCAAUUCACAACUCUUUCACGUCAAGAGAAGCUGGGAAGAUGGUGCUGUCCGUGGACAACACAGCCUCCAGGAGAAAAAAGGUUGCUGCUUAUCGAUAUAUCGUCCGCAAAUCCACUGUUGUUUAGAUUGAAUAGCUUGCCUAAUCAAAACUCUAAUAACAGAGUACUUUUUCUUUUGGGGUUAUUUUUUGGAGGAUGAUUGAAUUAAUGGCUGUGAACUGUUUUUAGUCUACUAGAUAGAGCAGUAAUGUAAUGUAUAAAAACGGUGGGUACUACAUAGCUUUUAUAUAUGUUAAUAUAGAAGCAAAUCAAGUACUAACAAAGUUAAAACUUG
rnacentral:misc_RNA from 1 species